UACGUAGGGUGCAAGCGUUGUCCGGAUUUAUUGGGCGUAAAGAGCGUGUAGGCGGCCAGACAGGUCCGUUGUGAAAACUCGAGGCUCAACCUCGAGACGCCGAUGGAAACCGUUUGGCUAGAGUCCGGAAGAGGAGAGUGGAAUUCCAGGUGUAGCGGUGAAAUGCGUAGAUAUCUGGAGGAACACCGGUGGCGAAGGCGGCAUCCUGGACCGACACUGACGCUGAGGAGCGAAAGCCAGGGGAGCAAACGGG
rnacentral:rRNA from 1 species